rnacentral:rRNA from 1 species
UACGAAGGGGGCUAGCGUUGUUCGGAAUCACUGGGCGUAAAGCGUAUGUAGGCGGAUCGUUAAGUCGGGGGUGAAAUCCCGAGGCUCAACCUCGGAACUGCCUUCGAUACUGGCGAUCUUCGAGUCCGGGAGAGGUGAGUGGAACUCCGAGUGUAGAGGUGAAAUUCGUAGAUAUUCGGAAGAACACCAGUGGCGAAGGCGGCUCACUGGCCCGGUACUGACGCUGAAAUACGAAAGCGUGGGGAGCAAACAGG